ensembl:snRNA Gm25515 predicted gene, 25515
CUACUCAUCUGGCAGGGGUGGCACCACAGUCAUGAAGUCAGUUUUCACAGGCGAGGCUUACCCAUUGCACCCGGGAUUUGCUGACCCUGCGAUGUCCCCAAAUGUGGGAAGCCUGACUGCCUAGUUUGUGGUGGCGGAUGACCUCACUCACCCUCUC